CUUCGGAUUGUAAAGCCCUUUCGACGGGGACGAUGAUGACGGUACCCGUAAAAGAAGCCCCGGCUAACUUCGUGCCAGCAGCCGCGGUAAUACGAAGGGGGCUAGCGUUGCUCGGAUUGACUGGGCGUAAAGGGCGCGUAGGCGGAUAGUACAGUCAGGCGUGAAAUUCCUGGGCUCAACCUGGGGGCUGCGUUUGAUACGUAUUGUCUGGAGUUCGGAAGAGGGUCGUGGAAUUCCCAGUGUAGAGGUGAAAUUCGUAGAUAUUGGGAAGAACACCGGUGGCGAAGGCGGCGACCUGGUCCGAUACUGACGCUGAGGCGCGAAAGCGUGGGGAGCAAACAGGAUUAGAUACCCUGGUAGUCCACGCCGUAAACGAUGUGCGCUGGAUGUUGGGUGACCUAGUCACUCAGUGUCGUAGCUAACGCGAUAAGCGCACCGCCUGGGGAGUAC
rnacentral:rRNA from 1 species